rnacentral:rRNA from 1 species
GGCGAACGCUGGCGGCGUGCUUAACACAUGCAAGUCGAACGGAAAGGCCCUGCUUUUGUGGGGUGCUCGAGUGGCGAACGGGUGAGUAACACGUGAGUAACCUGCCCUUGACUUUGGGAUAACUUCAGGAAACUGGGGCUAAUACCGGAUAGGAGCUCCUGCUGCAUGGUGGGGGUUGGAAAGUUUCGGCGGUUGGGGAUGGACUCGCGGCUUAUCAGCUUGUUGGUGGGGUAGUGGCUUACCAAGGCUUUGACGGGUAGCCGGCCUGAGAGGGUGACCGGCCACAUUGGGACUGAGAUACGGCCCAGACUCCUACGGGAGGCAGCAGUGGGGAAUAUUGCACAAUGGGCGGAAGCCUGAUGCAGCAACGCCGCGUGCGGGAUGACGGCCUUCGGGUUGUAAACCGCUUUCGCCCGUGACGAAGCGUGAGUGACGGUAAUGGGUAAAGAAGCACCGGCUAACUACGUGCCAGCAGCCGCGGUGAUACGUAGGGUGCGAGCGUUGUCCGGAUUUAUUGGGCGUAAAGGGCUCGUAGGUGGUUGAUCGCGUCGGAAGUGUAAUCUUGGGGCUUAACCCUGAGCGUGCUUUCGAUACGGGUUGACUUGAGGAAGGUAGGGGAGAAUGGAAUUCCUGGUGGAGCGGUGGAAUGCGCAGAUAUCAGGAGGAACACCAGUGGCGAAGGCGGUUCUCUGGGCCUUUCCUGACGCUGAGGAGCGAAAGCGUGGGGAGCGAACAGGCUUAGAUACCCUGGUAGUCCACGCUGUAAACGGUGGGUACUAGGUGUGGGGUCCAUUCCACGGGUUCCGUGCCGUAGCUAACGCUUUAAGUACCCCGCCUGGGGAGUACGGCCGCAAGGCUAAAACUCAAAGGAAUUGACGGGGCCCCGCACAAGCGGCGGAGCAUGCGGAUUAAUUCGAUGCAACGCGUAGAACCUUACCUGGGUUUGACAUGGAUCGGGAGUGCUCAGAGAUGGGUGUGCCUCUUUUGGGGUCGGUUCACAGGUGGUGCAUGGCUGUCGUCAGCUCGUGUCGUGAGAUGUUGGGUUAAGUCCCGCAACGAGCGCAACCCUUGUUCACUGUUGCCAGCACGUUAUGGUGGGGACUCAGUGGAGACCGCCGGGGUCAACUCGGAGGAAGGUGGGGAUGACGUCAAGUCAUCAUGCCCCUUAUGUCCAGGGCUUCACGCAUGCUACAAUGGCUGGUACAGAGAGUGGCGAGCCUGUGAGGGUGAGCGAAUCUCGGAAAGCCGGUCUCAGUUCGGAUUGGGGUCUGCAACUCGACCUCAUGAAGUCGGAGUCGCUAGUAAUCGCAGAUCAGCAACGCUGCGGUGAAUACGUUCCCGGG